CAAACACACUAUAUAACAACCUCCAUUUCCUCCUCAUUCCAUACACUAAAAGUCACCAACAAAAAUACCAUGAAAACUCUGUCAAAUUUCUUCCUCAAAACCCUUAAAUCCGCAACCCUCAACCUUGCUACAAAACUCACUCACAACCUCCCGAAAAUUGUAGCCUAUUCUCACCCUCAAUAUUCAUAUUCAAAACCACAGCCGCAACAACUUCACACUCACAUAUCAAUAACAACACACGCACAAAAGGAGAUCAGAGAAGAAGAUUCCGAGUCCAAGAACAAAAGAAAAACACAGAAGAAAAGAAAGUACUAUAUGUAUUUUUUUGUUGCUACUUUUGAUUUGUGUUUCCAUUUGAUUUGA